rnacentral:rRNA from 1 species
GACGAACGCUGGCGGCGUGGAUUAGGCAUGCAAGUCGAACGGUAGGAUACCUUCGGGUAUCUGAGAGUGGCGAACGGGUGAGUAACACGUAGGUGAUCUACCCUCAAGAUUGGGACAACCCAGGGAAACUUGGGCUAAUACCGGAUGAAAGCAGCAGUGAUGUUGUUUGAAAGGUGGCGUAAGCUGCCGUUUGGGGAUGAGCCUGCGCUCUAUUAGUUAGUUGGCGGGGUAAAGGCCCACCAAGGCGAUGAUAGAUAGGCGGCCUUAACGGGUGGUCGCCCACACUGGGAUUGAGAUACGGCCCAGACUCCUACGGGAGGCAGCAGUCGAGAAUAGUCUACAAUGGCCGAAAGGCUGAUAGUGCGACGCCGCGUGAACGAAGAAGCCCUGGGUGUAAGUUCUUUAUAUGUGAGCAGUGCUUCUAUGUGAACAGCAGUGGGAGAGAGAUAUUAGCAUAUGAAUAAGCAACGGACUAACUCCGUCGCCAGCACG